rnacentral:lncRNA from 1 species
CUCCAUUGGAAAUGAUUUGGUUGAUCUUGUUGCUGAGGAUGGCCUGGUCCAUCAGAACUGGUCAUCAUAUAGUAUUGUUGUUGAAGUAUAUAAUGAUCUCCUGGUCCUGCUCAUUUCACUCAGCAUCAGUUCGUGUAACUCCCAGUUUGUAAGAAAUUAUGGUCCUACCCCUCAACCUGUCAGAACCAGCUUGAUGGUCCCUGCCUGGAGAUUCCUGCUCACCAGAGUUUGGACUCCAUCCCUUGCCUUUGUUUAGCUACCUGAGCUAAGAGUUAUAAAUAUGUCAUUGAGAACUCACAUUCACUGCUGGAUGCUUUGGACAUCAUCAGCUGGGGGGGAGGAGGAGGGACAAUAUGCCCACAGCACAAUCUCUCCCUCUCAGAAAUCCAAGUAAAAUAUUAAAAACUCUCUAAUCUCUAUCUUGCCUCAGUUUCCCUGGCAUUACAAUGAGAUUAUACAUCAAUUGAAGUACAGAAAUAAUUGAGUUUCCACUCCAUCCUCCUUUUAGGCCAUCAACAUUUAUUGAGUAUUCACUAAGUAUAAAGCAUUGUAGUAGAUUUUUAAAAAAUACUUCAUCUCUACCUAAAGAUAAGUUAAUAAGAAUAUAUUGUAUAAUGAACAAAGUAUGGAGCACACCAGAAAUUUUGAAAUCACUUAGUCCAAAUUCCUCAUUAUAGAGAGUAAAGUGAGGAUUGCAGAGAGGUAGUAAUUUAUCCAAAGUCAUAUACGUGGUGGUGACAGGGUAGGAUUUAAACCCAGGCUCCUAAUCAAAUAUUCUUUCUUCUACAUCAUACUGUUACAAUCCAAUGUUGAGCUUUUCUAUCUUGAUAGAACUAUCCAAGUAUAUACUUUCCUGGGAUACAAACUUUGAGAAUCUGCCCACCUCACUUGCAGAUCCAGAUCAGGACUGUGAAUUCUUUCACAAAAACUUGCUACACCUGCCUGAAGAUACCAUCGCUGUUAGGGUAUCUCUCACCCCUCAUUUUUCACACCUCAAGAAAACCACAUGAUAUUCUCACUCCUACUGAUUUUUGGUUACUUUAAUUUACUCUUUCAUAGUUUCCACAUUUUGCUCUAACACUUCCCAUUUUACACUUAUAUCUAGAUAUAUUUAUAUUAAUUUCUAGUUCCUCUCCUAUUAAAAUGAUUUACUUUAUUGUUAUUAUGUUGAUUAAUGUUUGUGCUCCUUUAAGACAAGAUUUCCUCUUGACCUCUUUCUUUCUUCAUCUCUCAUCAGUAUAUUGAGGGACUGGACUCAGAUACUCUCUGUAGGUUUUUAAUUCAUGAAUACUGAAGUACUCAAGUAACAGAAAAACCACCAAUAUUUUUAUUGUUUUCUGUUGGGGAAUUUUGAGCCAUUUCAAGUUCUUUCUUUAAUCUUCUGUAAGUUUAUUUUAUCUUGAAGUGAGGUUGCACAUACAUGGUAUAGGAAUAAAAAUAAAGGAGCAUUUGGAUUGAAAGCAGAUGAAGUGGAUACAUUUGUAAUAUAAUGCCAAAGAAACUGAGGCAAGAUAGAGAUUAAAGAGUUUUAAAUAUUUUAUUUGAAAGGGAGAGAUUGUGCUGGGACCAAAUGGAUCCAUGGUUUGGUCCCAGGGCUGAAUGAGACUAAUAUCUCCAAGAAUCCAGAAUCCAGCUGCUAAUGUGUGCUUCCCAUAAAGUAUAUAUGCACAAUACUCUAAGCCACCAGAGUAGACUGAGUCAGAGGCAGAGUCAGAGCACUGAGAGUGGGAAUGGAAUAUCAAUCUGGUUCUGACCGGUGGGGGGAGGAACUGAAUUUUCUGAUAAGUAGGGAAAGUCUGGGGUCAUGAUGUCUAAGACAGAAGGUCUUUCUCCUUAUCUGGAUCAUGAUGAUUAGGAGGAAGGGGUGGUGUUGCAGGAUUGAGCAGAACAAUUAGGAACCAAAGCAGGACAAUUUAGGGAAACUGAGUCAGGACAAUAAAAGGGAAUUGUGGCACAACAGUAAUAUGAAAGUGUUCUGAAUUGGCAAAGACUAAAGAAGUCCUUUCAGGAAAAUGUUUUACUUCAGGAAAGUACAACAGCACAGAGGCAGAAAUGAUACAUUUGUAGGGAAAAGCAAGGAGAUUAAUUUGUCCUAAAUGGAGAGUCCAUAUUGAAAAAAAAUGAGAAAUCAUGUUGGUGACAUGCUAGCUAGAGAAAGGGUUUUGAAUGAGCCAUAACUUGAUCCCUUUAAAUUAUCAUUAGAAUGCCUUAGAAUCUUCAUAGUCACUAUAAAUCUCAUUUCAUUCUAAAUAAUAACCACAUUAAGGUAAAUGAGUCAGGUAUUACCCAUAUUUUUCCAAAUGAAGAAACUAAGGCAUAGAGAGAUUAAAUAAACUCACAUUUAGUUCUCUUUCCUCUAUACCAAUGAUGUAUGAUUUGUGACCUGAAUUUUAUUCCCACUUACUCAACUGACCUUAUGUAGACAACUUUAUUUUCCUAUUACUUAGAUCUUUUCUAUAUAAGAGGAAAAGAAUACUGUGCUAAUUAAUCAGCCCAUUUUACUUCAUGAUGAUGCUGGAAUCGUUAGUGUAAUUAUAUCUGUUUAUUGGGCCAUAUCUAUUUCAAGACUUGACAUAAAAUAUCUUGAUACACAUUGCAGAGAAACAUUAAGCUGAAUGCUGAAUUCAGUAGAAAAGUAGAGAGUAUACUAGAUUAUAUCUUAUAAGCGUCUGAUGUUUUCAGAGAUAGAAAGAAAUUCUGUAUCACAUAAUCAUAUAUCACAUAUUCUUAAGAUGAUUUCUUUUAAAAUUCAGUUCAAGUAUGACCUCCCAUAACUUAUGUUAUCCCUCUUCAGGUAUCAAUGGCCCCCUCAAUUACAUUUGCAUAUAUUUAGCAUUUAGUUAUGUUGCCCCUACUUUGAUGGGCUCAGUUUCCCAGAAAAUUCAGAACUAGAUUUUAAGGGAAAACUGGAGGUUUUGUGUGUUUUGGGAGUUUUAAUCUCCCAAAUCAAAGGAUACACAUGUCAUUUCCCCCUAAGAGUAUGUAUGUUCCUUGAGGUUAAAGGCUCUCUUGUCUUGGAAUCCCCAGCUUCUGACACAAAGUAGGCAUUUAAUAUCAACUGAAAUUAAUUAUUAAUGAUUGACUAAAAUUUCUCAUACCAUUGUGCCUGGCCCUCUAUCUUAUCUCACUUUUUUUGUAUCACAAUUAUUUUUCUACUUGUUCUUUCCUUUAUUAAGUUAAAGAAUCAUAAUUAAUUUAGGGAGCUUAAUAAAUUCAAUUAAUUAAAUUCAAAAUAUGGCCUGUGUCACAUCCAUUUGUGUAUUACUAAAAUUUAGAGCUUUAGAAACUUUCAUUUUAUAGCUUGGGGGAUUGACAACUGAGUAGAAGAUUGAAAGACCUUCCACUGUCCAGGGACCCCAAGUACAGUUGUGCUGACCAGAUGCUUCCCUGGCUGUGGCUGUGAGGAGAAAAAGCUAGUACCUACCUGGUGAUUGCAGUAGUGAAGAGUGCAGAACCUGUUGCUUAUGGGUACUUGUAGGAGAGCAGAGGAUUUCAGUUCCAGAACAAAGGGGACAGUUUUGAUUUGCAGCUACCUAAGGGACUGCAGGGAGCAGGAUCCUUAGCAGGACAUUGUGACUGAGAGGACUAGCUAUGGCUUAGGAGUGGAGAGAUGAGUACAAGGUUGAGCCCUGAAAGAGACUUCAGAAAAUAUCUGUAAAAUAGACCUGAGAUUUGGAGCAUCAUGUCCCAUACCUUCAGACUGCAAGGUGAUUAUAUUAACAGCUGCUAAAAACAAAAUAAAACAAACAUACAAAAAACAAAACAAAACAAAAAAAAGAAACGAGAAAGCAAAAGAGAGAGAACACAACCACAGUGAAUUACUACGGUGAUAGAGAAGAUCUGGAUUUAUAUUCAGAAGAAGAUAAUGAAAGUUUUAAAAAAGCAUUUAUUGGGGCAACUAGGUGGCAUAGUAGAUAGAGUACCAGCCCUGAAGUCAGGAGGACCCGAGUUCAGAUUUGGUCUCAGAAACUUAACACUUCUUAGCUGUAUGGUCCUGGGCAAGUCAUUUUUAAUUGGCUCAAAAAAAAAAAAGUCACUUAUUUUUCAACAAGAAACACCAAAUGGUCCCCAAAACAAAAAGAGUUCUUGGAGGAACUUAAGAAAGACUUUAGAAACCAAAUAACAAAGAUAGUGGAAAAGUAAGAAAAAAUAAGAGCAAUCCAAGAAAAUCAAGAAAAUUAUGAAAAAGAAAAUCAACAACUUGAAACAGAAAAUUAAAACCUUUUUAAAAAUUAUUAUUAUAGCUUUUUAUUGACAAAACAUAUGCAUGGGUAAUUUUUCAACAUUGACCCUUGCAAACACUUUUGUUCCAACUUUUCCCCUCCUUCCCUUCACCCCCUCUCCUAGAUGACAAGCAGUCCCAUACAUGUUAAAGUAUAUGUUAAAUACAAUAUAUGUAUAUAUAUUUAUACAGUUAUCUUCUUGCACAAAAAAUCGGAUUUAGAAAGAAGGUACAAAUAACCUGGGAAGAAAAACAAAAAUGCAAGCAAACAACAGAAAGAGUGCAAAUGCUUUGUUGUGGUCCACAAUCAUUUUCCAGUGUUCUUUUGUUGGAUAUAGAUGGUUUUGUUCAUCACCGAUUCUGAAUCGGUGAUGAUCGGUGAUGAGCAAUUCUGAAACAAUUCAAAUAUGGCAUAAAGACAUUUAGAAUCACACAAGAUCUAACAGUAACUAUAUUAGGAGACCACAGGUCUUUGGAGACUUUAUCAAAAAGCAAAAGAGCUAGGGUUGUGGCUGAAAAUAUUAUAUCCAGCAAAGUUAAGCAUAAUCCUGAAUGAAAAAAAAAUUCAAGGAAUUAAUAGACUUUCAGGAUUUUGUUGCAAAAGGCCUGAACUUAAAAGAAAAUUUCACAAAUUAGAUCUACGAGAAAUAUAAGGCAAAGAUCAAAGACUAAUUUCCAGAGACUCAAUAAGGAGAAACUGUUCAUAUUUUAUAUGUGGAAAUGUAAAUGGUAUUUGUCAUUUGAUUGUCAUUUGUAAUUGGGCAGUUCAAAAGAUUUAAGACUCAGAUAGAGCUGAGUAUGAUGUGAUUCUAAAAAGCAAAACCAUGUAGGAAAAGGUAAAAAGAGUAAUUAUGUUAUAUGAAUGAUGUAACUGACACUGGAACUAGAUGGGGGAAGAGGGCUGGUAAUUUUGGAAUGCCACACAUCAGGAAUGGCUUAAAGAAUAAAUAAUACACAUGUAUCUAGAAGUAUAGAAAAGUUUUCUAAAUUUAUAAAAAAAUAAGAAGAGGAGGGAAUAGGAUAAGGAGUAUAGAAGAUGAUGAAAAAUUAGCAGGAAUAGGAUAAAGUAUGUAGAUUGCAGGAAUAGGAUAAAGAAAGAGGGAAAAUGUGAGGAUAGGAGGAUAAGGGAGAGAAUCUUUGGAGGGGAAGUAGGCAAGUCAAAGUAGUGAAUAGGAGAAGCAGAACAGUAAUCAGGGAUAGGAAAUAAGAGAUACAUAAUAUCUCUUAUAAUAAUAAUAUUAUUACCAUAAUAAUAAUAAUGAUCAUGAGUAAAAUUUAUUAGAAAAAAAACAGGGGUAGUAAUCAUUAUCUCAGACAAAGGUAAAGCUAAUAUAUAUAUAUAUAUAUAUAUAUAUAUAUAUAUAGAGAGAGAGAGAGAGAGAGAGAGAGAGACAGAGACAGAGACAGAGACAGAGACAGAGACAGAGACAGAGACAGACAGACAGACAUAUGUAGUUUUUUGAGGGGGAAGUAGUGGGGAAGAAAGAAGAGAAAAAAUAAAGUAAAAAGUGCACAGUAGGACAAAAGAAAACCUACAAGGAAGUUAUGUAUACAGUGUAUAGGAUUUAUUAUAUAGGGUUUCUUGAAAUGGUGUUUCAUAUUUUGAAUUUUCUCAUGUUCUGCUGUGCAUAUGGCAAUGUUCUUAUUUUUCUUUUUUCUAUUAUUUUAUUUUGCAUUUAAGUUUUAAAUAAAUGAAUACAUUUUGAAAAAAAGAAAUUGUCAAAGAAAAUUAUUCUGAAGGUCUAAAACAAGAAGGCAAAGCAGAAAUAGAAAAAGUCCACCAAUCAUCACCUGAAAGAGAUCUCAGGAUGAAAACUUAGAGGAAUAUACCACCAUGUUUCAGAACAUUUAGAUUAAAAGUUUUGGAAGCAAUAAGAAAAAAAAAGAACUUAAAUAUGAUUGUUUACUUAAAUUUUGUACUUUGUAUAUGUGAAAAUAUUAUCAAUACUGUCAUUAUUUGGAUAGUUUGAAAUGGUGGGCUGAGCUGAGUAUAGUGGGGUGAUUCUAAAAUAAAUAGGAACUGUGUAGGGAGAGAUAAAAAGGAGUAAUUAUCUCAUACAAAUGAGGCAUAAAAAAAUAAAAAUUGAUACAGAAGAAGCUAGUGGGAGAGAGCAGGUAGUGUUAGAACCUUAGUCUCAACAGGAAUGAGUUAAAAAGAGAACUAUAUACACACAUGUAUGUACAGAGACAUAAACAUAAAGUCCUCUAAAUUCAGAAAGAAAUAAGAGGACAAAGGUAUUGGGUGGGAAGAGAGGAUAAGAUAGGGUCUUUUAGAGGGAUGGGUAGGUUAAGGAAUAGGAGGGCUAGGUAGUGAGUAGAAGUAAAGUAGAGGAGUGAGGACAGAUAGGAUAAAAAGGGUGAGAAGGAUAGUGAGGGAAAAUAAAAAGAAAGAAAAUAAACAAGUAAUUGUAGCUUAUAAUGUGAAUGGGACAAAUUUACCCAUAAAACAGAAAUAUAUAGAAGAUUAAACUUUUGAAUUCAAUAAUAUGUUGCUUUCAGGAAAUGUUAUAAAAUGAGAGAUACACAAAAAGAAAAAAUAAAGGGUAGUAGUAGAAUUUAUUGUGUAAAAAUCAGGCAAAGUAAUUACAAUCUCAAAGUUACAGUUAAAAUAGAUUUAGCCAAAAGUGAAAAAUAGAGAAAUAUAUCAAUAAUAUUAAUCAAUGUUGUUUUAGAUCUUAAAAUAACCAGACAGUAUAAAAUACUGAGUAUAUACCUACCAAAAUAAUCAUAGGAACUAUAUGAAUAUUAACGUAAAACAUUUUUUAUAAUAAUAAACUUAAAUAAUUGAAAUAAUAUUUACUGUUCAUGGGUAGGUAAAGUCAAUAUAAUUUUUAAAUGACAAUUUUACUUACCUAAUCUAUUUAUUCAAUAUUGUCCCAAUUUAAUUACUAAAAAUUACUUUACUGAGUUAGAAAAAAAAUAACAAAGUUCAUUUGAAAGGGCAAAAGGUCAGGAACUUCAAGGAAACCAAGAAAAAAGAAGUAAAAGUAGUUGAUUCAGCAGUAUCAGACUUUAUAUUAGAAGGGAGAGCAUUGUGGAAGUCUAAAAAGGAUAAUUUUUAUUAUUUUAAAAUAAAAUCUUCUUGUAUAAAUAAAACCUGUAUAGCCAAGAAUGGAGGGAAUGCAGAAAACUGAGAAAGAACUUUCAUGGACAACUUCUCAGAUAGAAUGUUAUUGGAUUGAAUAUUAUUGUGGUAUAGACAAUGAUGACCCAGUUGAUUUAGUUGACAUGGAAAGACUUGAACCUAUGAAAGAAGAUGUUAUUUUCAGAAAAACAGAUGAAAGGUGAAAAUAAGUAUAGUGUGUUCUCACAUAUGUAUAUAUGAAUGUACAGGCAUAUAUAUGUGUGUUUAUAGAUAUUAAUGUAUAUGUAUGUUUAUAUAUAUAUACAUACAUACAUAUAUGCGUAUAUAUAUAAAUAUACAUAUAUAUUUAUUUGUAGCUUUCUUUAGAGUGGAAAGGGGAGAGAGAAGAAAAAAAAUGAAAUACAAAGUGCGCAACAGAGAACAAAAGAAAACCAACCAGGGAGCAAAGGAAAGCUGGAAAGCACUGAACACAAUGUGUAGUAUUUGUUAUAUAGGCAUUUUUGAACUGGAAAUUUAGUGUUUAUAUUGAAGUCUCUAUUAUAGGCUUCUAGUAUAUGGCAAAUUUUUUCUUUUCUCAUUUUGUAUCUAAGUUUAAAAUUUAAAAUUUAAAAUUUAAAAAAAUGUUGAAAAAUUACAAAAAACCAGUGUACCCCCAAAAGAAAAGAUAUCAGAAGACAUCCCUACCUCCUCCCUUGUAGAGAUGGAAGAUUUCCAAGUAUACUGGCUGUUCAGGCCUUUUUCAGUCACAUCUGACUCUUUGUGACCUCAUCUGGGGUUUUCUUGGCAAAGAUCCUGGAGUGGUUUGUAAUUUUCUUUUCCAGCUCAUUUUACAAAGGAGAAAACUGAAGAAAAUAUAGUUAGGUGACUUGUUCAAGGUCACAUAACUAGUAGGAAUCUGAGACCAGAUUUAAACACAGGAAGAUGAGCUUCCUUUAUGCAUUUGUCCAUUUUUUAACAAAUUUCAAACUUUUUUGAUGUAUUCAUCAAUAUUGCUGAUUUUUUCUUUUCUUUUUUCUUCUUUGAAAAUAUGUAAUUAUGAAUAUAUGUAAUGGCUCUGUGGGAAGAAAGAAAGGAAAGGAAACUUAGAAAAAUAUUGGGGAUGUAAAAAAAAGCAAAACCAGUUUAUUUUAAAAAGAAAAAUACUACACUGAAUUAUCUGAUGGUGAAAUCAAAUUAUAGUGAGUUCAAAUUAAGUCCUUCCAUUUGAGUUCUAGACCAUAUCAAUAUAGAUAAAAAUCUGAUUCAGUCAUCCUUUCUCUUGGUUAUUUAUACUCCCAUAUCACAGAUAACAAAAUGAUGCCUUUUACCUUGGCUUUGUGGUAGAAAAGAACUAUCUCUACACUAAGUAAUCAGUGAUUGGAUCUGGUGUUCUGAGACUAGCUACUCUACUUGAAUAAGAUAUUGAAGCUUUCUUAGAUUCAUUUAACUAAUCUCUUCAAGUAAUACUCAUGGAUAUUCCUUUCUCUUAGGGUUAUGGCUUUGAGAUCAAAUGAGAUAAUAUAAGUGAAAAAACUUUACAACCAUAAAAUACUGAGUAAAGUGUGAAACAGUACUAAAUACAGCUCACUGACAGUGUUGUUAGACACCUAGGCAACUCCCCAGAGCCGGAAAAUAUCUCUGGGUGUUGGCAUUUUUCCUAGGUGAGGAAAUGAGAACAGGAUAUUUUCUGUUAGAAGCUUUUCUAAUGUAUUCAAAAAGGACAGUAUCUCAUCUGACCAGCCAAGUAUUACUUGGUUAUUGUGACUAUUUCUAUGUUCAGAUGAUAAUUUCCUGUGUUUUAAAAGUACAACUCUGAAAAACACCAUUCUGAUGAGACACUUAAUUAUAUAUCUGCAAUGAGCUUCACUGGGAUGUUUCCACCUACUUUCAGAAAUCCUUAGAACAAUAAACGGACCCUUAAAAUUACUUUUCCCAAGUUACCUAUACAACACUCCAUAAAUGAGCUCUUAUGGCAGAGUUCCCAAGUAAAUAUCAUAAUGAGAAACAGAAAAUACAAAUCAUGUCAGUGAGAGGUCCAUUCUUUUCUCCUGUGCAGAAAGCAGGGGAUGACAACUUGUGGUAGGCUUGUCCAAGGUGAGCUCAUUUUCAGUGAUGUGUGGGAUGAUAGCUAUCAUUAUUCUUUGGCUUCCCCCAAGAAUCUGCAAGUGUCAUUAUUUGUUUCCUCAUCAUGUACCAUCCCACAUUAAACUGGUUUACAAGAGUCAAGACACUGUCGCCAUCAACAUGUCAGGGGAAGGAUUAUUUUUUUUGUAAUGCUUCUCUUAAAAAAUUGCCUAUCUCUGUCCAGCAAGGCUGGCCUCUUGCCCAGUGAUCACUCAUACUGAUUUUCAGUGACUGAAGAAAUGAUAGAUUUCAUUAUUUUAUGAGACGUAUUAUACUUUAUAUCAUUCAACUAAUGAUCUCAAAGUACAUUGCAAACCAUCUCCAUACAUUCCACAGUACAAAUAUGGAAACCCAAGCAUUCAAUAAGUAACUUUGAGUCAAUGAUCUCACCUCUGAGUCAGCGGCAGAGCUAGAAAGGUUAUUCAUGAGCUCCCUAAACUCAAUUCACACUCAGAGAACAUACCCUCAGUUAACUUUUUUUAAGGGGUGCAUUAGAUAGAAUGUCACACAUACUUGGAGUCAGGAAGACCUUUCUAAUUUCAGAUACUUACCAGCUGUGUGAUCCUAGGCAAAUAAUUUAACCCUUGUCUACCUCAGUUUCCUUAUCUGUAAAAUGGACAUAAUAGUAGCACCUGCAUCCCUACAUUGUUGUGAGGAUCAACUGAGUUGACAUGUGUAAGCUAUUGGUCAGUCAUUUCUGAGUCUUCGUGACCCCAUUUGGGGUAUUCUUUGCAAAGAUGCUAGAGUAGUGGUUCAGCUGCGAAUCUUCAGUGCCAUUUCCACUCUCUUCUAAAAGGAUUAAUUCUGCAAAUAAAAGAACAAGUCCUGUAGUGAGGAGGACCCAGUCUCAGACAGACAAUUAACAUUUCCUAGCUGUGUGACUCUGGGCAAGUAACUUAACCCCAAUUGCCUCAGCAAACAAACAAACAAACAAACAAAAAGCACAUUAUAGAUUUAAAUUUAAAUAUGGAAUUAAAUUCUUUGUAGAUUUAAAUUCUUUCAGAUUUUCUGAAGACUUGGUUUCCUCUCCACUUCUCUUUAUUAUUUCAAUAUUUUGUAAAUAUUUUUUAAACUGAUAUUGCUCUAGGCAACCAUAUCCAUUAGUCUGAUAUAGAAAUACCUCAGAGGAUUAUAACUAGAUCUUGAUUAGUGGAAUAAUUAAUCCUCUUAUGUGUUCUCAUUAUUUGAAUUUGGAUAAGUAGUUUCAUUGGACUGGAAUCAAUAAUCAUAGUUUACAUAAUUGUUAACUUAGAAUAAUAUGAAUCUGAAUACAUUUUACUAGUUUGGGGGAUUCAUUAUUUUCACUAAUGGAAGCCUAAAUGUAAUUUUAGCAGCUGUACAGAACAGAGGUACCCUGGUUUAGAGAACAGAGAUGGGGUUACCUCAGAGAUGGGGUGAUCUGGAUUCAAGUUUGACCUCACCUUGCCUUUGUGCAACAAAUUAACCUCUCAGUAUUCUAGGAAACUUUCAAGAGGUUAAUAGAUGCAGAGAAGGUGUCAACUUGAAUUAGUAAAGGGACUUGUUUCAUUUAGGCCUUCCCUUUGCUAAUGAAAUCAGGAGUCGUUUCCAUUCAAAAUAGAAAGUACUAGAUUGUUGUUCAUUUCAUUUAUCCAAGUACUAGAUUUUGAGGCUUUCUUUUUGCUUUUUGUUCAAAAUAUUUUAAAUAGUUUACAAUGGAACUCCUUUAUAAUGUUGAUGUGGGAUGGGUUAACAUCACAUCAACUUUAUUAGUUAUUUUAUAAUAUCUUUACUGUAUGAAUUUGUUUGGAAAAACAUGAAUUAUCAUGAAAUAUCACUAAAUUCAUAUAAUAACUUGGUUUUCUUUUACCUUCAAAACAUGUUACUUUCAACAUAAUUCCAAUAGUUUUACUAUUUCCUUCCCUUGUGGCCAUUUGUGUAAAGACAGAAGCUUAGUAAAGUUUGCUUUGCUUCUCCUCCUUCUCUUUAAAUUUAAUCGUCUGAGUUUAAUAACUAAAAUCAUUUAGUGAGCUCAAAGCAGUGCUAAAAAAGACAAUGAUGAUAUUAAUCAACCAAUGAUAUCAUUGAACAGUAGGAUGCAUGUUCUCAAUUAGCAUUUACAUACCAAAGUACAAAAGGGCAGAAGGAGUGCUGAGGAUGAUCAAAGACCCAUUGCUCAAUAGUAUGUUUUUAGAUUGCUCCAUGGGAGAUCAGCAUCACCAGGUCAAAGCUCUGGGGUUUCAUUUUUGAAAUUUUGUAUGAUUUCGAUCUCAAAGUCAAGGGGAUCAACAUUACUAUGGUGGUUUCCAAAGAAUUUGAGUUCUAUGUUUUCAAUUAUGUGCCAUAUAUAUUAACAGAUUAUACAGAAUAAGCUCCCUGUUUCUUUCCCAAAUAAUGUGCACAUGAGAAAAAAAAAAACUUUAAUAUACUUAACUCAUCAAGGAUUAAUGAAACAUAAUAGUGUACAAGACCCCAAAACUUGCUGAUAAACCAAAGGAUACCAACUACUAGGGCAAAAGCUUGCUAAUAGACAAAAACUACUGAAAAAAUUGGAAAAUAGGCUAAGAGAAAUUAAAUUUAGAACAACAAUUCACACAAUAUACCAAGAGAAGCUCCAAAUGAAUACACAGUCUGGUAACAAAAUUACACAUCAUAAAUAUAUUGGAAAUAAAAGGAAAGGAGAUAUUUUUCACAACUCUAGAUUAGAGAAAACUUUCUGAUUAAAUAUAGAAAAGAGAAGAACAGAUGAAAUGGGAAAUUUUGAUCAUAUAACAUUGAAGUUUUUGCACAAAUAAAAUCAAUACAGAAUAGGAGUAAGCAGUUCUCCAAAGAAAAUAUGCUACAAAUUUUCCAAUUGAAUGAAUGGUGAUUAAAACAAUGCCAGAAUUUCACUUCAUAUACAUUAGUGCCAUAUACAUGGCACUGUUUAAAUGAGCUUUAAGUUGUUUAUCUGCCCUUCUUCAGGACUGGCCCAAUCUGAUUUGGAUAAUCUAUUUCUAAAAAUGGCAAUUGUUGAAGGGGUUGUAAUAGGACAAUCAUUUUGGAAAGCAGUUUGGAAUGUACCUAAAAGGCCCUUAAAUUGUACCUAUCCUUUGAUAUGAAAUCAAAACUAUUUUCAAAAUACUAAGAGUCCUCCCUUUCCAACUUCAUAUCUGUGUAAGACUGAAUUUUCAGUGUCUACUUUAAAUAUGUGUUUAAAAUAACACAUCAUAACAGAUUGAAUGCAUAAGAAGAUAUGAAAAUCCAGCCAUUCUCUAUUAAACCCAACAUUAAACCCAACAUCUCUUUAGAGAUUUGCAAGAAAAACAAACAAAAAAACUAAGUAGAACAAUGGAAUUCUUCUCAUUAAUUUUUUUUGUUUUGGAAAAUAGCUAUUUUCAUAAAAGUGUAUUACUCAAGUCAACAUUUAAUUGAUUUAUUAUUAUUUUAAACAAACUAAUACAUUUUUUAAAAUGUAGUAGCUUGUAUGUGUAUAUGUAUAGCUUAUGGUGAAUAUUAACAUUGUAAUUUUUUUGUAUUCAAAACAUUCAAACAAAAAAAGCCCUUUGUGUGUGGGGAGAAGUGUUUUCAAGAAAUUUUAAGAGUGCAAAGGAAUCCUAAGGCCAAAAUAUUUGAGAACUGUUUAUUUAAUCUCCUCCUGUGUCUUGCAUGUUGCUCUGCAUAUUGUGGGUAACUAAAGUUUUUAAAGUGAAUGACCAAAUAGGGGUUAGUAAGGAGAGAACACAAAAAGCCGGGGAGAGGAGACACACUGAGGAUAUAAGUGAUGGCAAAAUCCUGUUUUUAUGGAAAAGGUCAUUUUACAAUAAGAAAGAUAGUGCAUAAAAACAACCAUUACCCUAUUUGUUUCAGGUCAAUAGGCUUGAGCUUGACUUUAGGCUGUGUAUAUUGACAUUAUAAAACAAGUUUUAAGAGGAGAAACACCCAAGGGAAGGAAAAGAAGACAUUUUUUUCCCUGCUAAAGCAAGGAGUCAUUUUUCAAAAUGUCGGGUUGUAUCAAAUGGGAUUUUUCAUUUAAAAAAAUAUUGCCUGGACAGCAGUAAACAAGUUAUGCUUUGUAGACCAAUUUGUGCUGAUCUCAAGAACUGUAUGAGACAAACUCUAAAAAUGUAUGUUGUACUGGACAAGUUGGGAUAUGAAGUUCAUUGCCUUGUGAAUUACCUUGUCCAAAUUAAGUUGCUAAUAUAAUAUUAAUUUUCAAAGUAACACAAAGUUUUUCAAAGACAUUUUAGUUUUCCCAUCAUGACAGGGCAUCUGCUUUGCCUCAAGGAACAAGGAAUCACUCAAUCAAACAGCAUGUUAUCGUGGUAUUCAAUUAAAUGAGGCUCUAGCUCCACAUGCCUAACCUGCAAAAAAUGUCAAAUGAAAAUGCCUGCUUAAAAUGUGUUUUAACUAACACAAAGUUACUGAGGGAUAGAAAAUUGUUGUCAACACACUUUAAUUCUGAAGAUUACAUUUUUAAAUUGUUUUGUAGUUAUAGUCAUUAUUUUCAACAGUAUUUUAUUUUUCCAAAUACAUGUAAAGAUACUUUUCAACACUCAUUAUUGUAAAACUCUGCAUUCCAAAUUUCUCUCUUCUCUCUUCUCCCUCCUGAAUACAGCAAGCAAUCUGAUAUAGGCUAAAUAUGUGCAAUUCUCCCAAACAUAUUUCCAUAUUUACCAUAUUGUGCAAUAGAGAUCAGACCAAAAGGGAAAAACCUACGAAAAAGAAAAAGAAAUGUGAAAAUAUUAUGCUUCUAUCCACAUUCAGUCUCCAUAGUUGUCUGGAUUUAGAUGACAUUUUGAAUCCCAAGUCUACUAAAAUUGCCUUAAAAGACUGCAUUGUUGAAAAGAACCAAAUCCAUUAUAGAUGAUCACCAAAUAAUCUUGUUAUUGUGUAUAAGGUUCUCUUAGUUACUCUCAUUUCACUCAAUUCAUAUAAGUCUUUCUAAGCUUUUCUGAAAUCAGCCUGCUUGUUAUUUCUUAUAGAACAAUAAUAUUCCAUUACAUUCUUAUACCAUUAUUUACUCAAUUAUUUCCCAACAGAAGGGCAUCCAUUCAAUUUCCAAUUCCUUGCUAUUACAAAAAAGAGCUGCUACAAACUUUUUUGCAUAUAUGAGUCCUUUUCCCUGUUUUAUGAUCUCUUUGGAAUACCAAUCCCCCAAUAGAGACACUGCUGUAUUAAAGGACACUCAUAGUCUUAUAAUCCUUUGAGCAUAGUUCCAUAUUAAUCUCCAGAAUGGUUGGAUCAUUUCACAAUUCCACCAACAAUGUAUUGGUACCCCAGUUUUCCUCCAGCAUUUAUCAUUAUCUUUUCCUAUCAUGUUAGGCAAAUAUGAGAGGUGUAAAGUAACACCUCAGAGUUGUCUUAAUUUGUAAUUUAGAACAUUUUUAUAUGACUAAAAAUAACUUUAAUUUCUUUUUCUUUUUAAUUAAAGCUUUUUAUUUUUCAAAACAUAUGUGUGGACAAUUCUUCAACAUUAGCCCUUGAAAAACCCCGUGUUCCAAUUUUUCCCCCUGCUCCCAUGCCUUCCCCUAAAUGACAAGUAACCCAAUAUAUGUUAAACAUGGUAGAAAUAUAUGUUAAGUCCAAUAUAUGCACACAUAUUUAUACAAUUAUUAUACCACACAAGAGAAAAAGUGAAGCAAAAUAAGAUGCAUAGCUUUAAUUUCUUUAUAUGAAAAUUGUCUUUUCAUAUCCUUUGACCAUUUAUCAAUUGGGGAAUGAUUUGUGUUCUUAUAAAUUUGAAUCAAUGUUUAAAUAUUUUAGAAAUUAGACUUUUAUCAGAAACCCUAACUGUAAAAAAUUUCCCCCAGCUUUCUGCUUCCUUUCUAAUCUUGGAUGCAUUGAUUUUGUUUGUGCAAAACCUUUUUAAUUUAAUAGUCAAAAUUAUACAUUUUGCAUUUUAUAAUGUUCCCUAGUUCUUCUUUGGCCAUAAAUUCCUCUCUUCUCCCAAAAAUGUGACAGACAGACUGUUAAGGACUAUGCCUACGUGAAUUGUAAGGGACAGGUCAAUUCUCCAAGAGCCUCCACAGCUGUGAACAUCUGAAGGAGUUGCAAAGCAGCUUUUACUGAUGCAGGUGUUGUUUGUGGACUGGGAAAAUAAAUUGGAGGCUGAGGGAAGAGGAGAGAGGUCAGACAACACAAGGGCCUCUCAAUGGGGAGGUCAGAGAACAGCAACUGCCUCUCAGUCUCCUUGAAUCACCAUCAUCCUCUCACAAGAGAAGAAAAGGUCUACCAGAGAUGGCUCUCGCCAGUUCCAAUGGCUUAAAUCACCUUGCUGUUGAAAAGAACCACAUCCAUCAGAAUUGACCAUCUUAUAAACUUGUUGAAUAGCUCCUAAUUAUUGUUUUAAUUUCCUCUUCAUUACCUCAUUCAUUAGGUAACAAGUAAUCCAAUAUAUAUUAAACAUGAGCAAUUCUUCUAGACAUAUUUCCAUAUUCAUCAUACUGCACAAGAAAAAUCAGAUCAAAAAGGAAAAAAUGAGGAAGAAAACAAAAAAUCAGCAAACAACAACAAAAAGGUGAAAAUACUAUGUUGUGAUCCACAUUCAGUCCUAACAAUCCUCUUUCUGAAUGCAGAUGGCUCUCUCCAUCACAAGUAUAUUGGAACUGGCCUGAAUCAUCUCUUAUUGAAAACAGUCAAGUCCAUCAGAGUUGAUCACCACAUAAUCUUAUUGUUGCUGUGUACAAUGUUCUUUUGGUUCUAUUCACUUCACUUAACAUUAGUUCAUAUAAGUAUCUCCAGCUUAAGGAAAAUUAUUGCACUCUGAAUAUUUGGAGUCACUUCAAAAACUGUUUAGAGGCUGAAUCUACUGUUAAUUCUGAGGGAAGCUGGAAAGAAUUCAGGCAAUAUCCUGAGUACCCUCCACUAUCUUAGUUCUACCCCUGCUUUUUAAUUGUUUAAAGUUUUUGUUUUAUUAUAAACUCAACAACUAUGAACAAAGAUAAAUAAUUUUAAAAUGCAACAUGAUCAAAACAAUAUUUCACAAAACCCUUAACAUUUGACAGAGUAGAACCAAAUAGAAUCAGAAACCAAUAUAUAUUUCUUUCCCUUUCCCAUUCAUCAGAUGUUUUGCUGCCUUUGAACUUGUUCUCUGUUUUUCUGGGAUGAUGGAAGGUUAUGGUUAAAUAAAGAAAUUUUAGCAUUAUGGAUGGUAGAGGUGCAAUUCUUAGGGAUGGUGAUGACCAUAAAGAUACACUUAUCCUCUUGUAUUUAGGUAGAGUUGAAAGAUGGAUGAAAUGGGUAGCAAGGAUGUUUGAAGAAACAAAGAUAUGCAAUGGGGAUAUAGCCAGCAGCUAAUCAAGAGACUUUUUUCUUCACUACUAAGUAAUCAGACAGGAAAGUCACAAAAUUUAUGUGUUCUGAAGUGGAAAGCCUCUUCAUUUAUACAUCAUCAAUGAUUCUAGAAGCAGGUUUCCCAAAAAUCCUCAUGGAAAGGCAAUAGGGAGAGAUGUCUGUAGCAUACUUUAAGAACUGGAUUCUUAUUGUCCAAAUUUCUGCUCUCCUAUUUUCAGACAGAUAAACUGAAUUUAUUGUGAUGACUGGAUUUCUUGAGAAAAAGAGAAUGACUUGGGGGAUAGUGAGUAGAUCAUGGAAUAAAGAUUUGCAUAGGGUAACAUGUUGAAUGGAGUGAAUCUUAAAAGAGGAGAAAUUUCUGAGUAAUAGCAAUAAGAUUGUGAUAAUAGUGAUCAUAGUAUGAUGGAAGGAAAAGAGUGAUGAAAGAAAGUAUGUGAAAAAUACACACAAAUAAGCUGAGGUGUAUACAACAAGAGGCUUUGGAAUUUUUGAAAAUCAAUUCUAGGCUGAGACCCUGCAGCUCUCAUUAAGGAUUCAUUUCUUUAAUUGUAAGUGUCUCAUACUAUUAUAAAAUUUAGAAAUCUCUCACCCUUGGAAAAACACUUUUCUGCUCAGUCUUAUGGAAAAUACUUUUAUGGAAGAAGCCAGCAUUACUAGACUGGCAUUCCUUUUAGAAACUUUUGUUUUGAAAGUGAAAUGUAGAAUACUAAUGUGACCUUUUUGUUUUCUUUGUCUCAAGUGUUCAUUUUUACAAUAAAAUGGAUUGCAAGAAAAAUACAAGUGGAUAAAGAAAACUCUGCUAACUUAGUGGUAUCAUGCAAAAAUAAAUAGAUUAAUACUCACUCUAAGUGUCCAGUGAUGUCUCUAGGCUUUUCAGAUAAAUCUAUAAUAUAUCAACAAAUCAAACCACAAAUAACACAUUCUCCUUUUUUUAAAAAAUAGGACAUGCAUUUUAUAGUUCAGCAAUCUCAAUCUGUUUUAUAUCAUUCAUUUUGUUAAAGUCUUAUAUGUAAAAGUGAAUAUUAUGAGUAUUGCAAUCCUGAUACUAGAGUAGGAAAAAUGUGUAUCAUAUUGGUCUAAAUAUAGGCUAUUUUCCCCUCAAAUCUAACUUUUGUGAAAUCUAAAGCUGUUUAAUAAUUAUAAAUAUGAUGUUGGCAUUGGAUUCAUUGGAGCAUAUCCCAAGAGUAUGUCCAGUUUCUAUGAGAAAGAAUAAGUCUUUAUAAUCUAAAAGACAAAAGCAUCCCAGUACUAUGCAUACAAACUCAAAUGUUUUUGAGAAUUUAAAAAGAAAACCCACAAAAUUGAAUUGGAAGUAGUGUAGGUGGCACAAUAGAUGGAAUAAGAAAGACCAGAGUUCAAAUAAACAUCAGAUACCUACUUGCUGUAAGAUCCUGAGCAAGUCAAUUAACUUCUCUUUGCCUCAGUUUCCUCACCUGUAAAAAGGGCAAUUAUAAUAGCACCUAUUUCCCAGGCUUGUGAGAAUCAAAUGAUAUAAUAAUUGUAAAAUUCUUUGCACAAUUUCUGGCAAUAAUAAGUACAUCAUUAUUAUCAUAGAUCAGCCUAUUACUCAUAAUCACCUAGAUGCAACAGUGACUAACAAAAUCUUGAGGACAAUAUUUUUAAUAGAUGUUGCCAAACCAAAAACUUAUAAGCUCCAAACUAUAUGUAAUGAAAAGAUAUCAAAACAUAGAGAAUCUAGUGAAGAAAUUAGAACCAUGUGGAGACAAGAACAAAUACUUAUCAUUUCCAACAUCCAAUCUACCACCAGAGUGUUUCUGAAGAUGUUUUCAUCAAGUCACCAGAAUGUGACUGUGAAUCCCAAUAUUUUCAUUCAUGUACAAAAGUCAAUUAUUUUAUUCAUCUGCAUGAUAACUCAUAGAAUAUUCAAUGUAAAAGAAUUAUACCAAGAUUGUGACAUCCUAGAACUAUUGCUAAGAGCCAUUAAACAGAUAAGAACAAAAUGGUAAUAAUAAUGAUUAUGACUAACAUUUAUAUUACCAAUCCAAUAACAAGUCAAUAGGUACUUAUUAAUUACCUAGUAUGUGCUUAGCAACAUAAUAAUCAUUAGAGUUAGAAAGGCAAAAAUAGUCCCUGCCCUCAAUGAGUUCAAAGUUUAGUGAGGGAGAUAGGACAUGCAUAACUAUGCAUGCAUAACUAUGUAUCACUGGGUGGAGGGUGCAAGGGGUAGGGUGGGGAAGUUUUCAUAUGUAAUAUGCAUAAAAGAUAGAACUAAGUAUGAUAGAUCAAAUUCUAAUCAAGUAUUAGCAAAUUAAAACGCAUCCUUUAGAACCCUUCUCCCAGAAAAUAAUAUACAAAAUGACUACUAUGUAAGUGGAAAGAAUACACACACACACACACACACGUUCAGAAAGGUAAAUAUAGCAAAAUCAAGUGUGACUCAAAUGAAAAGGUAUGUGAAGAUACAUCCAAUUCACUUUUUUGUGAUAAGAAGUCCAUAGGUGUUGCACGUUGCAUAUAUUUUCAAACUUUUUCACUUGAUUACUUCUACUGAUUUUUCCUUUUCUUUUUCUUUUGUCUUAAAAAUUACCAUUUGUUAUAUGGAGUGGUUUGGUAGGGAUGCUGGAGAAAAAUAUUAUGAUACAAAAGUGUCCAUAAAAAUUUAUUUUAAAAGGACAAAAUUUUGUCUAGCUUUGCCUUUUCUUCCUUUCAUAUGUCAUGUCUUUCUUUCAUAGACAAAUCCCUAGAAAGUUCCAUUCACACUCUCUUAUUCCAUUUCCUUAUAUUUCAUUCACUUUGAAACCUUGUAGAGUUUGGCUUCCAACACAAGGAAUUGACAAGAUUACCAGUGAUCCCUUAACUAUUAUAAUAAAUUCAGUGGCUUUUUUUUUUUUUUUUUUUUUUUUAAGACCUCAUCUUGAUCUUCCUGGAGAUUUUGACACAAUUCACUAAAUUAUUUUCUUAGGUACUCUCUGGUUUGCCAUUGGCUUUGUGGCCUGCUCUCUCCUGGUUCUCAUGUUUUCCCAUUUGAUGACUUUUCAGUCUCUUUUUUGCCAUCCUUCACCAACUAAGAGUGGUUAUCAACCAAAGCUGUAUCCUGGACCCUUUUCUCUUCUCUCACUAUGCUUUUUCACCUUUGUGAUCUUUUCAUCUUUUUAGAUUUGAUCAUCAUUUCUUUGUGAUCAAUGCCAAAUUAUAUACCAACUAUCUGAUAGCAUUUCCACCUGGAUAUUCCAUUGGUAUCUCAAACUGACCAUGUUCAAAAUGGAAUUUUAUUUCCCUCUUCCUGAGACUUUUCUAUUUCUGUUAAAGGCACUUCCAACCUUUCAGUCACAUUGGGAUUACAACCUUGGCAUCAUCCUUUACAUUGUCCUGUCCCUAACUUUUAAUAUACAAUUAAUUGCCUAAUAUUGUUAAUUCUUCCCCUGCCCUAAAACAUUUCUCAAGGCCACCUCUCCAUUCAUGCAAUCACCUUCCCAAUUCAGAUCAUCCUCACUAAAUAGAAUAUUAGCUUUCCAAUUUAUUUCUUUAUUUCUAAUUUUUCAUCUUUCUAAUCUAUUUUAUACAUAGUUUCCAGAUUAAUUUUCCCAAGAAGAAGUGUGACUAUGGUCUGGUUUAUAAUAAAAAAUCCUCAAUGAGAAUUUAUCUUAUCUCUAGAAUGAUAUAUAAAAUCUUUUAUCAUCUCUAGAAUAGUGUGCAAAAUCCUCACUUUUCAUUUAAAUCCUUUCACAAUCUGGUUCCCACCUACCCUGCCAGCUAUAAUUUACAUACAUUCAUUAAUGGUUCAACCAAAUUAACUUAAUAGAUGUACCCUGAUCUCAAUAAUUGGUAUUACAUCUUCCAUCUCUUUACCUCUGCACAGACUAUUCUCUCAUGCUUGUGAACACUCAUUCUCCCAGUCCUAGAGCAUUUUUUUGACAAACAGCUUUGUAACAUUGAGUGUCACAUUUACAGAGGGAGAUAUGACUCUUGAUUGACUGGAAAGCCUACUGAAUGGAUCAGUAUAUUGAUUGGUGAGAGACUAUUGAACUCCCCCAAAAUGCGUAUAUGUGGGAGAGAUUGAGGGAUAAGGUACUAGAGGAGAGUAAAACAGAAGCACACAUCUAUGUAUGUGUGUAUGCGAAUUUCUGUGUGUAUUCAUGAUGUAUAUGUGUAUGUACACACAUAAGGAAGCCAGUUUCUAACACAUUCCUUAACGUGCAGAGCCUGCAACUGUGUUGUUUUUGUCGUUAUUGUCCUUCAGUUAUUUAGUUGUGCAUGAUUCUUUGUGUCUCUAGAUGGUUGGGGAUUUGCGUUUGUUUUUUGGCAAAGAUAUUUGAAGGGUUUGACAUUUCCAUUUCUUUUUCUAAUCUCCAAUUCUAGAGAUUGCUAAUUUAUCCUGUUUAAGGUUUGUUUGUACAUAGUUAUUUGCAUAUUGUUUUCCCCAUUAGACCCGCAAGUUCCUUGAGAUCAGAAACCAGUUUCUCACCUUUCUUUAUAUCUCCAGUGCUUAGCAUCCAGUAUGUACUUAAUAAUUAACUGUCUGACUUAAGGCAGUCUUUCUUGGUAAGGUUAUUGUCUUCUUGAUUGAGCUGAGAUUUUAUCUUCCAAAUGAAGAAUUUUUCUGCUCUUAUAUAUUCUUUUUCCUAUUCUGAUGUGUAUAACUCCCCCAAUUUCUGUUUAUUGUUUGCUUGGAUAAAUGGGUUUAUUUGCUGUUUGAUCCUGAGGUUGCUUUUGCACCAAGAAUUUGGUAGCAGCCAAAAUGGCUAUUAUCUCUCCUAUUCUCUGGGAAUGAUCAGGAAAAGUUGUUUUUUAAUCUUAACUUCCCCUUAUUCCCCAUCCCCCACCCCCAUCCAAAAAAAGAGAAUUAAAAACCUAGAGUAUUUGAAGUGUGGAAGAUCAAUAUAAUUUUGCUUAAUAUUCUAAUUGGAAAUAGAGUAUCAAAGGAGUAAUCACCAUCCUUCCUCUCCCCUACUAGGCUACUAGUGCUAGAGGCAAGGAAGGUCUGCUCCUACUUUCCACAAAGGUGAAAAUUGCAAUCUCCCUUUGAAGCUUUAGAAUGGAGUUCACCAGAUUCCAGAGCAGAUUGCUAUCUAUUUUACUUAAGCCAGCCAUUUUAUAUUUCAUGAUCC